rnacentral:lncRNA from 1 species
UAAUCUGGAAUUGAGCCCGAAUCAGGGAGAGAAAGAGGAAUCUGAUAAAAGUAGAGGUGGAAUGGACAUGCUUCUAUCUGCUGCCAGUACUCUACACUUUGUGGAGAAGUUGAAUGCGAAUGGCAAGAAGAGUUAGAAAGACCUUGCACUUGGGAGGACAUAACAUGAUAUGAUUUGUUUUUCACGGUAUAAUGCCUUUACCUUUUCUAUUAUGGAUAGCUCAGAUUGACAACUUAUUUUCACUUCAUUUUUUGGGCUGGGAAGCAGAUUGGUGUAGGUGUAGGUUAUUAACUUCAUUAGAUUUUACUAGCAUUUGGAUGAAUAGCUAUGAUCAAAAAACGAAUUAAAAAAUUAAUAGCAUUUGUAUGAUCUCUGCUUGAUCAAUGGGAUUGCCAAACUGUAAGAUCCUGUUGGUACAGAAAAUCAUCCACUAACAGGUACGAUUGAACUAAUGUUAGUUUGUAGUUUGAGAAUAGAUAGUUUUAGUGUCAAAAGUGAAUGUUUCCCAACAAUGUUGUAGAAUUGUGGAGAAAACUCUAACCAAACAGCCUGUUGUAAGCUAUGAAAAGUUUAGUCUAAUUGGAUGAUUACCUUUUGUUAUGCUUUUGGAUAUAAUUUUUGCUUCACCAGGGGAGUUGGCUCUAUGCUUUAUCCUUGUUUUUUCAUUAAUCUUUGUCCUUGUUUUUCCUAAUCUCUCCUUUUCAUUAAAUUUAAGUAGGGAAAGAAAAAAAAAAUCAAUUGAAGCAGAUUCUGAAUUUGGAAGUUGUAAUGUAUACUCUCUCUAUUGUUGUUUGCUUAUAUAUUUUUUAAUUUAGCUUUUGAUAUAGAAAAGGAAAGACUACAUAUACACUAUUUUGACCAUAAGAAAAAAAAAAUUGCAAUGUUGAAGCUUGUAGAUUCAUUAAAAAAUAAUGCCCUUGUUGUUUAGAAUCCUGUAUGUAUUAGGUACAUGAAUGUGUUACAUUUUCAUCUUUUUAUGACUAUAUUUCAUGUGACUGGCGCUUCUUUGGAUGUUAUUUUAUACCCAUGUUUGAAUAUGUGUUUUUUUUUUGUUGGAUAAGAAUAUUUCGACAUAGAUGCAUUAAGUGAAGAAUGCUAUUGGUGGAUAGACUCUGUUAACUUGGAAGCAUUAUGUUGUUGCUACAUUUUGAACAAACUAAUGUAUUAGUAUUUUAGUACUUUUUUUUGCCUAUAGGGAAUUAAAGAAAACAAUGUUAAAUAACUAAUGUAUUAGUAUUAGUAUUAGUAUUUUAGUAUUUUGAUUUUGAUUUUGAUUUUGAUUUUGACAACAGAAAAGAUGAGAGAACAUUUUAGCUAUGUCAAUUUAAGUAAUUAAUUUGUAUUUUUCAAAUCAUAACAGAAAUAUUAUCUUUAUUAUAUAUAUAUUUUUUGGGUUUUCAGUCCAUCUAUUAUAAAAUAGAACAUGGAUGGUAUUGUGUGGGUUCGAUCCUGGAUGGGUACUUUGAGGGGGCUUCUAUUAUUAAAUUUUUGGUUUUAAGUAAAAUAAUCGGUCUUGAGAUAUUUGCUAAUGCUGUUUUUUUUUUUAAAUUCUAAUGGCAAAUGCUGCUUUUUAACCCUAAAAGAAUGCUCUUUUCCAAGUUUUAUAAUUAUUAUUUUUAUAUAUUUUAAUUGAGAAUUUUUAUUUUUUACAAUUUUUAAACUUGUAUUUUUUUUAACCUUAGGAAAAAAUUAAUAAAAAACCUUUUUAUGAUACAUCUAUUAUUGAUUUAUAAAGGCUUGGGUAUGUGUAUAUAUAAAAAUAAUAUCGUCACAGAAAGAAAAUUAUAUUGGAUGGUAAUUCUCUGUGAUCUUUAUGUAGAAAAUGAAAUAAAUAGUAUAUAUAAAUAAUAAUAACUACUCCAUUUGUGGUCCGACCCACAAGUUGACUACAUAGGAUUUUUCUUUUCUUCUUGGUUUGUUGACCUCUUUUCGGGUUUUCGGUCAUUUGAGCAACCGACACCUGUCAGUUUUUCCUUACUGGCAACCUCAACCAACCAGUUCCAGAUCCGACCCAACUAAGCAAAGGUCUAACUUUGUCCCAGUCCCUGUACUUUCUGAAUUCCUGAAAUUUAAUCCGUUUACUUUUUCUUUAAAAGAAUACUUAUGCUUGUAAUUCUUAGAAUUUAGUUUCUCUACUUGUUUGAUUUAAAAAUUAAAGUCUAGUUAAUAAAUUUAUCAAUUAAAAUUGGUUAACUUUGAAUAUAAAUUCAAUUGAUUUUUAAAUUUUAAAUCAAGCAUUUGAAUAUUAAAAUAUCACAUGUUCAAAUUUAAUAAAAUUUUAUUAAUAGUGGUAUCAAUUGAUUUCAACUUUAAUUUUUUAAUUAAGAUAAGUGCAUAGAUUAAAUUUUUGGAAUUAAAAAUUGAAAGAUUAAAUUUUAAAUAUACAGAGAGUACAAGGACUUCAGAUAGAAUUAAACCCUAAAAAGAAUACAAAGAAAAAUGCCAAAACAAAAGUAAACUCAAACACAAUUUACACACUGCUGUAGUUACUAUUUUCAUUUCUUUUUUCUUGAGAAAAAAAAAUACACGGAUAAGACGGGGAAGCUGCACAGCAAAGCCGAAGUUUCUCACGGAAAAUAAUAGUAAAACAAUUUUCCAAUUUUUUAGGGUUUCAAUUUCGGGCCUAAUAUUUUCAACUCAGGUAAACCUUCCUCCUUCUUUACUAUUUUUUUCUUGUUAUUUGGUGUUUGGUACUCAAGGAAAUGCAGGAGGGAAAAAAGACGGAGAAUAAUGAAGUUGUAUAUUAAUUUGAUUUAUUGUUUUUAAUUUUCAAAUGAUCCUUAGUGAAGUUCAUUUGAAUUACUUAGCUUAGUUUGGAUGAUUUCUUUUAUCGUUUUUUGGUGAAGCUAGGGGAUGAUAUAUUUAGACUUCAAUUUUCUUUUUGGAUAUUCCCUUUGUUUUCUGUAUGCCUAAAGUUUUUUUUUUUUUACUGAAUUUGCUUGUUUUUUCGUCUAAUCUGAUGAUUUUUGAAGUGCUUAUGUUAUAAUUUAAUGUGAAUUUGGAAGAUAAUGUUGGUUUAUUACAGAGAUAUCCUAACUCUGUGAUGAUAUGCUUGGAAAACUAGGGUUUUGUUCUGUUUUGUGAAGGUGGAGAUGGGUGUUGAAGAGGGGACAAUCAACAGUGAAGGAGCAGAGAUUGGGGAGGAGAUUAAGUGCUUCAAGAUUGAACCAGUGAAUAAUGGUUUUGGUUCUGAAUUUGCAAAUGAUUCUGGUGAUGGGAGUUCUGGGGCAAGUGAGAGUUUACGAACAUAUAAGAGGCGGAGACAGUUAAGGUCAAGUUCAAAUACUGAAGUGCAAGAUGGUGGGAAAGCUUCUAUAGGCCAGGUAGAUUUCGAUUAAUGUGUUUCCAUAUGUAUGUUAGAAGUUAUAGACGCUAAGUAUUUUUCUUUCUUGUACUAUUUAAAUGUUGAGAUAGGCAUAUUCUGAUUCUGUUCUCCAAUUCUUGUUACAACAUUUGUUUUUCCUUUAGUUAAAGAGCUUUCUUAUUUUAGAUUUGGAUUAUGGAUUGAAAAAUAUUAACUUGUUUGCAAUUAGAUGGAAGGCUCUGCCUGGAGACUAUCCUAUGAGUAUGAGCAGAAGGUGUGACUGGGUCGUUGGGUACAUAAAAUACAAUUUCAAGCAACUGUGUUAAGUCCAAAACUGGUGUGCAUAAUAUGAGAUAAAUAUGUGAGUUUUUGAUGUCUAGAAAUAUAAUUAAUAGCUGUUAGUUACUCUUUCUCUUUGUGGGAAAUUUGUAGUUAUAUCAUUUAUUUGAUUGCACUAGUGAAACAUGCAAUAUUGUCUUUCUUUCUUUCUUUCCUUUUUUUAAUAUGAGUACCUGAGUAUUCUAUUUGGGCUGACAUGUUGUGGUCUUUGUUAUUCUUUUGUCCUAAGAACAGUUGGUUUGUUUGAUAUGUUUAACAUGCUAAGCGAUUCUAAUUUUUGUGAGCAGGUCACUCUUCCUUUUACAGAUCAUUGUGCUUCUUUAAAUGAUUCCAAUUAUCGUCUACAAAGGAAGUGGAGAAAUGUUGUAUUGGAGAACAUGCAUCAGUUUUUAAGUGGUGAUGAAGGUGGUAUACGACGUUGCAUUCAAGAUGCACUUGUAUUUCAUCAAGAAAAUGAUUGUAAUGUGACAGUUAAGGUUUGUGCUGUUAUCUGAACUCCAUAUGGUCUAUGACGUUUCCAGUGGUAUUUUUCUUGUUGGUUUCCUUCAUAAUAUAUUUGAAAAGUUGUUUUAUGAUUCUUUCAUAGGAUUCUGAUACUUGUCAUGAAGAUAAACAGAACUGCUCUCCACAAGCCAGGCAGAUUCCUAAUGGAAAUCAGCAUACUGCUGAGGAGCUGGAGGGUGUUAUAUCUAAUGGGUCUUAUAAGGAAUUAAAUCCUAAAACUACCACUGAGAGGUGUCAACUUGUUUUCUUUGAUGUUAUAAUUUCAGAAAAGUUCACAUCUUUGUGUAAGCUUCUGUUAGAGAAUUUCCAAGGGAUUAAGCUUGACAAUCUUUUUCACUUAAGUCUAAUAAACUCAAGGAUGAAAGAGGGAGAGUAUGAGCAAUCACCUAUGCUUUUCACAUCAGAUAUUCAGGAGGUAAUCUAUUUAACCAUUUUUAUUUGUAUGCAUUGCUUGAAUGGAGUUGUUUAGUUAAAAGGUAAAAUGUUUGGCUUUUUCUUUACCCCUAAAAACCAAGAUGUUGAUAAGUGAAACAGCUUCAUGCUAUAUGUGUGUGUGUGUCUGCGUUCUUUAAAACAAUUGAAGAGUUCAGAAUUUAGUUUGUUUUCAAUGGCAGUGAUUGUUAAAAGGUCACAAGAAUGAACAAAGGAACACUUAUAAAUAGGGGAGUUACUCUUUGUCAACAGCUUGAAUUUAAAGAAGUUCCCAUCUAACUCAUAGUUAAUUAUGUGUUGUGAGAAUUAGGGUCAUUGUGAGACUUCAGAUAAAUUCUUUGCCAAUAUUCGAUGAAGAGAGGUUUGAUGUGAAACUUCAAAUCAAUUCUUCUCUUCAUCUUUGGCAUAUUUGCAAUGAUUCAAGAAUCUGUUGUUUACUGAUAUAGGCUUUUACUAAUUCUGUCCAGAUUGAAGUCUCAAUGUAAGGGACCUUUUAAUUUCUUGAAGGUACUCUGUUUAUAAUUGUAAGUGCAUUGAUAAUGAGCCUUUCCUUUUUACUUCAGGCAAAGUUAGAGUGAUCGGAAGCAUUUUAACGUUGUUUUCCAUAGAGUUUACCCACAAGCUAUUUCUUUUUCACAGAGAAGGCCAAUGUUCCACCUUAAAAGGGCUAGUUUUCUUUUGUAUAAAGCAGCUACUAAACUAAUCUAGUAUAACAUAACCCAGUAUGCCUACUAGUAAAACGACAGUUCAGCUUCUUAGGACUUUGGUGUAUUUGAUUUCUUCUUUCCUGUAUACGACUUAAGUGUUUAGGAGUCUGUUUGAUGAUUAAUGAUAGGGAAGAGUUACUGUUGAAUUGGGGUGCCUUGCUUAUCACUAGAACAUGGCUUAAUGGCUGGUUCAAUCGCUAAUUGCUCCACAAAGUGUUCAAAUCUGAUUUGUUCCUACAACUUGAAUCAAUUGCUCUUGUGCAGUUAAAUGCCUGCCUUUAGUUUCAUUCAUCUAACUGUGCUGAUUGAUGGUCACAAGAACUUGGCUGAAGGAUUAAACCCUCUGUAUUGCAAGUCAUGUCGACUGCUUAGAGUUAGAAAAGGAGGUUGUAAUAAGUAGAAGGCUUAGAAUUGUUUAUUAUCUCCCUAAAAGAAAGUCAAUUGUUCUUAAUUCUAGUUCUCUGCAUAAAGAGUAAUUAUUUAUCCUUGAUUAUCAGCCUUUUUUCAAACUUGUUUCUCGUUGAUCGUGUUUGUGCAUACAUGGUGUUAUUCCUUUUCUGCUAAUUUAGUGCAAUACGAUUUGAGACGAUAAUGUCCUUUUUUGUCUCCUGUGGUACCCUUUCAUUUCAUUAAUACAGAUUUCAAAUUAUUUUUCUUUUCUGCUUCACUAGACUGAAGUUACACAUUUCCAAAGAAGUUAAUUAAUAACAUCUCUUUUGAUACCCUUACUGUUCAUUCAUUCUUUCUUCCGAUGUCAAUUUUUUCUUUAAAUUGCACAUCUCCAAACAAUCUUUGUGGUUCAUUAGCUGUUAUCAGAUCAUCUUUGUUGAUUCGUUUAGUUCCAUUAAUGAGCUUGUAUGUUGUUAGAAGGAAACAAAAAGCCUUGGAGUUUAAUAUGUUUUAAUAUACACACAACUUUAAUCUAAAGUUUGAUGCAUUUUCUAAAGAAAAAUGAAAUGCUUAUAAAGUUUCCAGAAGAACUCAAAAUGGCUGCUUCCUGUAGUGUAUAUAUAUUACUCUUAAGCUAAAUACCUCCGGUGCAGGUAUGGAGAAAACUUCAAGGACUUGGAUCAGAAAUUAUAUCCCUUGCGAAGAGCCUUUCAAACAUUACAAGUGCUUCCUGUAGUGAACAAGUGAGUUAAUGAACAUACACUGUGCUUCUCUUGUUUUUUGAAAUUUAGUAAUUUGCUUAAAAAAACUAUUGCUUUGAUAGCGAGUUAUGUGAUGCUUUUUCUUCAAUCUUUCAGGUUGGAUGUUCUGUUGGCAGUGCUGAAAAGGAGAAACAUGAGGUAAGCAUUCAUGAAUUAGCUUAUAGUGUGCAUUGGCAUGCUUGUAUCAGCAGAAUGCAUUACUGUUUUUUCAAACUUUAGUUGUAGAUGCAUUCUUAACUUUUAUGUCAAAAAAGAGCCAUAUUGGAUAAUUUAGGGGUGCAUUUGGUGUUUCAGAGCUUGGAUAAAAAUUGAUGUAAGCCUAGACUUCGGAAUUUCCACUGCUCUUAUGUUUGGACUGAUUUCAACGGAAGUGCUGCAGUGGACUGGUGGGUUAGGAUUCCCAUAUAUAGAAUUUUGUCUUUAUUUUUGUGCUUCAAAAUUGUCAACUGGGCCCUCUUUUAUUUUGGUUUCCUAUUUAAACACCCUAAUGGUGUGGGAAAUUCAAGUAAACCUUUAUAGCCUUCGUGCUGGCUAGUUGGUUGCCUUCUAUCUAUCCUGCUUGUUUGUAUGACAGGACCCGGCAUGUUUUCUGCUGUCAUCUUGUAGUCAUAUUCUGUUCUUCUUUGCUAUCUGAAUUUAGUAUUUGUAGAGCACUUUGAGGGCUAUUUGAAUUCAGCAUUUGUAUAGAACAUUGAUUUCGACACAGUAGGACUCUGUCCUGAAUUGUUCUCUAGUUUUAAUUGCUUUACAUGCAAGUAAUCUAUAUUAUAUGUUAGGAAUCUGAUUUAAAAGUUGGGUUCAUGCCUGAGAAAUAUUCUGAAUUUUGUUCAAUGAAAAACAGUUCUGUACUCGGGAAUCAGAAACUCUUGCUAAACCGGAGCAAAUUGAAGCUUGUGGUGUCUUUAAAGUUUGCACUUGCAGGUAUUGUGGGGAGAAAGCAGAUGGAAAGGAUUGUUUUGUGUGUGAUUCAUGUGAGGAAAUGUACCAUGUUGCCUGUAUUGAGCCUGCUGUGAAAAUGAUUCCUCGAAAAAGUUGGUAUUGUGCCAGCUGCACCAGUAAUGGAAUGGGGUCUCCACAUGAGAACUGUGUGAUAUGUAACAGACUGAAUGCCCCACGGACUCUCAACAGCAAUGUUGCUGAUGAAAAUUAUAAUGAACAUUUUGAAACAUUUACUGAAUUGGAAGAAAAUUCAAACUGUAGUGUUGGUAAUAGGCUUCAGUUAUCACUGGGGAGCAAAACCCGGCAUGUUUGCAAAAUUUGUGGAGGUAAUUUUGUCAAAGGUGAGAAGUUAAGGAGUUGCGAGCAUCCUUACUGCCCCAAUAAAUAUUACCAUGUUAGGUGCCUGACAAUGAAGCAGUUAAAAACAUAUUGUUCUCGCUGGUACUGCCCUUCUUGUCUGUGUAGAGCUUGCCUUGCUGACAAAGAUGAUGAUAAGAUUGUUUUAUGUGAUGGCUGUGAUGCUGCAUACCACAUUUAUUGCAUGAAACCACCAAGAACUUCAAUCCCAAGCGGAAAAUGGUUUUGUAGAAAAUGUGAUGCUGGGAUCCAGCGAAUACAGAGAGCUAAAAGAGCAUAUGAAAGUAAGCUGAAAAUGAAGGGCAUAGGAGGUAAAAUGGCAUAUGGUAAUCUGGAAUUGAGCCGGAAUCAGGGAGAGAAAGAGGAAUCUGAUAGAAGUAGAGGUGGAAUGGACAUGCUUCUAUCUGCUGCCAGUACUCUACACUUUGAGGAGAAGUUGAAUGCAACUCGCAAGAAGAGUUAGAAAGACCUUGCACUUGGGAGGACAUAACAUGAUAUGAUCUGUUUUCACGGUAUAAUGCCUUUACCUUUUCGAUUAUGGAUAACUCAGAUUGACAACUUAUUUUUACUUCAUUUUUUGGGCUGGGAAGCAGAUUGUUGUAGGUGUAGGUU